rnacentral:rRNA from 1 species
AGUGAAGCGGCAGAGCUCAAAUUUGAAAUCCGGCCCCCCCGGGGGCCUGAGUUGUAAUUUGCAGAGGAUGCUUCGGGCGCGACCGCGGUCCAAGUCCCCUGGAACGGGGCGUCGUAGAGGGUGAGAAUCCCGUCUCCGGCCGGCCGGUCUCGCCCGUGUGAAGCUCCUUCGACGAGUCGAGUUGUUUGGGAAUGCAGCUCCAAAUGGGUGGUAAAUUUCAUCUAAAGCUAAAUACUGGUCGGAGACCGAUAGCGCACAAGUAGAGUGAUCGAAAGAUGAAAAGCACUUUGAAAAGAGAGUUAAACAGCAUGUGAAAUUGUUGAAAGGGAAGCGCUUGCGACCAGAGUCGGCCGCGGGGGUUCAGCGGGCAUUCGUUGCCCGUGCAAUCCCCCGCGGCCGGGCCAGCGUCGGUUUCGACGGCCGGUCAAAGGCCCCCGGAAUGUGUCGCCUCUCGGGGCGUCUUAUAGCCGGGGGUGCAAUGCGGCCAGUCGGGACCGAGGAACGCGCUCCGGCACGGACGCUGGCUUAAUGGUCGUCAGCGACCCGU